rnacentral:rRNA from 1 species
GGUGGGUAGUCCGCACGAGCGCACCCUAUUCUUAGUUGCCAGCAUGUAAUGAUGGGGACUCUAAGGAGACUGCCUGCGCAAGCAGAGAGGAAGGAGGGGAUGACGUCAAAUCAUCAUGGCCCUUACGCCCAGGGCUACACACGUGCUACAAUGGCGCAUACAGAGGGUCGCGACACGGUAACGUGAAGCCAAUCUCAAAAAGUGCGUCUCAGUUCGGAUUGAGGUCUGCAACUCGACCUCAUGAAGCUGGAAUCGCUAGUAAUCGCGCAUCAGCAAUGGCGCGGUGAAUACGUUCCCGGACCUUGUACACACCGCCCGUCAAGCCAUGGGAGUUGGGUAUGCCUGAAGAUGGUUGCCGCAAGGCGCUGUUUAAGGCAGAACUAGCGACUGGGGCUAAGUCGUAACAAGGUAGCCGUACCGGAAGGUGCGGCUGGAACACCUCCUUUCU